AGGAAAAGAGAUUUCUCUCCCUCACAGCACACAGAGAACUGAAGAGGAACUGAACUGACUGCCCUCAAGUUUUCAUGACAAUGAUCACUCCAGAAAGUCGGGAUCAGAUUUUUCAAAGCAGUCUGACGUGAUUGUGCUUCUAACUUCAACUCCAAAUGAGCUCAACUCAGGAAACUACGAACAAAUGAACAAUAGAAGUUAAAAUUCAUGAGCUGGCUGCAAAGGAAGUUUGGUGCCCUCCUAAAUGCAGGUAUCCAGAGCUCUGCAGCAUGUACCACAUGCCAAAGUGAAUGGUGAGGAGAGAUUUCUCCUUCUCUUCUGUGUGCCUCCACAUCCUUGUGACAGCUGUACACGCUCACCAGCAAGAUGGGGUGAGCAUAGACUGAGGAAACACCAAUGGGGAGCCCAGGAGCGGUGCCACCAGCACAUGGGUCUGUCCAGCUGCCCUGGCUCAGCCAGUGUCCUGGCAGUCAGUAUCUGGUCUCACAGGCUUUCUUCUCAUUUUCUUUUGUUGAUACAUAUAUACAUAUAUACAUAUUAGACCAAGACAUUAACUAAAAAUUGAGUGAACUGAACUAGUAACUGAAGAAGAAGCUUUUGUAAUAAAGGCUGAGACUAAAUUGCUGACAUGGCUCUGAGGAGCUUAGGCUGAAUCUGCACCGCCAUCAGCAACACAGGUCAAUAGAGGCAAAGAGAACUGCUGAAACAGAUCACAUGGUGUAGUCAAGGGAAUAGGCGGCACGGAGUAUAUGUAUUACCCUCCUUCUGCUCCUUGGCUCAGCCUUUGUUAGAAUAGCUGAUAGUUAGUUUGGAGAGGCUCGACUAAGUAUGAUGAAGAAUGAAAAAUCAAUAUUAGAAUAGCAGAUACCAUUUAUUUCCCAAGGAGCAGAGAACAUAAGGCUCUCAGAAAACACUGCCAUUCUGCUGCAGACUGCUCAAGCAUACCUUUUCCUUUACAUUAUAAUAUUUGCAAGCUUAAGUAGAUGUUUGAUAUCUUUGUCUCCUGGUAUAUAUAUAAGAAACAGACCACCUACCUGAAUAAGGUCAGUUCAUUCUUCCACCAACGUAUGUAAAACAAACAAGAAUUUCAGAUGUAGGCCAGACUGAACAGUCAUAAAUCAGUAUGAUCUCACUAACAUGAAGAAGAGUACCAUUACAUCAACUGAUAUAGAUUGUCUUAACUCAGCAGAUGUCACUCCUUGGCCCCAUUUCAUAUUUUCCCAGUCUGUCAAUACUCCAGGCUCCAUGGAAAGGGUGUUACCUUCCCACACCAGCUGAUCUGAGCUGAUGAAUAUAGCCUGAUGUCCAGGCAAGCACACCACAAGCAUUACCACACACAUUUGCUUGAUGAAAUGGGUGUCUUAAAUGGCUACAGUCACAGUUUGCACUGUUUAGACUGGAUAGGUUUCAUUUGCUUUCACGUUUGAGCAUAGGAGGCCUACAGGAACAUUGUGUGCUUGGCCAGAGAAGCCAUACUGAAGUCUAGCUCAGAGAAGCCGUCAGUCUCCCUGGAGCAUCGGUCCCUGUGCGUUGCUCCCACGGAGGCUUACCAAGGCAUUGACCCAAUCGUGCAGUCUUGUCAGAGUGGGAAGCAAGAAAGUCUAGACCAGGCAUAAGAUGAUCCAGAAGAGAGCAUCUAAGCUGGUAUAUACUGUAAAUAAAGGUUGAGGCCGCACCUCAAGUACUGUGUUCAGUUUUGGGCCCCUUGCUACAAGAAGGACAUCGAGGUGCUCGAGCGAGUCCAGAGAAGGGCAACGAAGCUGGUGAGGGGUCUGGAGAAAAAGGCUUACGAGGAGCGGCUGAGGGAUCUGGGAUUGUUCAGCCUGGAGAAGAGGAGGCUUGGAGUGACCUUAUCACACUCUACAGUUUAAGAAAAUGCCACUGGAUCUAAGGAAAUACUCCAUCAAUGGUUUUGUAUUACUCAGUCCUGGGACAUGAAGAUCUAACUUCCUCACAAAAGGCUGAUUUUCCCCUCCAGGAUGCACAAGUUUAAUCUUCAUGAAUACAUCCUAGAGCAGAAUCAGCUGAAUGUACUUAUACUGCCAACAAUAGAAUGGGAAGGUGCUGCUGUACUUUGUACUUUAGCAACACCAAUACGUGCAAUGUAUGCCAUGCUCACUACUAAGGAUCUUUAACUCCAAUCUUCACCUUUCAAGUAAGCUAAUUGAUAGCAUAGACAAAAACACAGAAAGAGACAGAAUGUUUCCAACAUCAUCUACCAGUUGUGGAUACUUCAGCUGUCCACUUUUGGAUGAAUUAUGAAGCAGACUGUGUACUUGUUUUUGUUUCUGUGAUGAGGUCUCCCAUCUAAAAGAAGUAUAUCCUGCUGAAUCUCUUCAUGUCAACAAAUUACAGCUAUUUGUCAAAUAAAAUAAAAAAUAAAAUAAAAAAAUCAAGCUCUAAGAAGCUUUAGAGGUCAGCAGAAAUGCCCUGAAAUUAAAUUCCUUCUUUCAAAUGAACUGCAGAACAUUGUUGUGGGCAAACUGGGUCAUUUAGUACCAAAGCUCUCACUUAGUCUAAUCCUCCUAGCCUGUUUGAAGCUGUGUGAAGAGAUGAACUGCCAAAAUACCAAUUUGGUAUCAUGACUGCCAAUGGAGUCCUACAACUCCAUUGUAUUGAAUACCCCUAUCUUUCAGAUUAUUCAAGAUUCAGCAACAGUACAUAUCCAAAAAACAUACACUUAAGUUCAGCUGAAAACAGGCAAAAUAGGAGAAAUUCUCAUAGGAAGGAAAUUCUGUGGAAUGAUUUGUCUUUCAUGAUAUCCCUUGCUAUCAAAACUGUCUGCCUGUGUGGAUAUAGAAGUUUCAAACUUACCAAAAUUUAUAACUUUGACCAAUUUCUAUGAGUUAUGCAAUUAAUACUAAGAGAGCAUUUAAAUCUAAAUUUUUCUGACUUCAUUGGAAUUAUUAGACUUAGGCUUUUCAGAAACUAACAACUGAUUAUCUCAGUUGUCUAACAAACCUUGCAAAAUAACAGAAACAAACUGCAUUUCUCAACCAGGCAUAUUAAUUUUCAGCAGACGGAUGCUGAUAUACUGCUACAACUGGCCAAGGCAACAGUCUGUACAUUUUCACAGCAACGAAGAAAUCAGAAGAAACCAUUACAUCAUCUAUUCUGACCACCUGUGCAACAAAUCUCAUUACAUUUCACUCAAUCAUCAUUUUGCCAAACCUCUUAAUCUGUGUUUGUCUUAGCCUAUCUAUCUGAGAGGCACUGAAACACCAAUGUAACUUCAGCUUUUGACAAGUGGAUUGCAUUGAGGUUUUUCUUUAUUACAUAACAUAAACCUCUGGCACUGACAGGUCUCUCAUGAGAAUAAGCACUAUUUCACUGUACUUAAAUUGGGAGAGUCCUGUGUAUUUUACACAGGAAAGCAUGCUCUUGUAGCAUGUUUGCUCCCUAUGUACAACAGCAAGUUGAACAUAAAUUUCCUGUCCUAAAACUUGUACAAAAACAGGAGCUAAGAAUAUGUACUGCAGGGAAGGAUUAGCACACCGUUCACUGUACAUCCCAAUUCUUUCCCCAUGCCGUAUGAUGUUGCCUUCUUGGCCAGUGGAUGUGUCUGAAGGACUGAUGCACAAGCGUGCUCCUUUUGCACCCAAAGAGCCAUCAGAACCACUGGUGGAGCUCAGUGGAAGAAACCUCAUAGUGUUUUUACACAGCAGCUCAGAAAUCCCAUAAAGUUGUGUUUUUCCAUUGCAGUUAAAUCAUUAUAAAACAGAAUGGCAACUUUUCCUUGCAGUGAGGCUCCUUAUCUGCCCGUGUCACAGACAAUGUCAACUUCUAGCAAGAUAACUGUCUCCAACAAUAAGAUUCAGAAAAGCUCCAGCUUUCACGCACAUUUCAGAAUUAAUGUGAGGCAAAAAUGUCUCCUUCCACAUGGGUUUUCAGAGUAAUAUGUUGAUUAGCAAAAGCAUGGUUUUCUUUUAAGUGAGAAGCCUGAUGUUUCCCGCAUUCACAGAAUUUGCAUUAAAUAGAUGUGUCCAACAGGAGAUAAAAAGGAGGAAAAACAGUCAGCUUAAGACAUUUGCAGACUGUUGAAAAAACACUUGACAGAUCCAUUUGAAGGACAAGGAAUGGAAAGGCAGCUUUAUAGAUAAAGUUCUUGAUGGGUUUUAUUUUUGAAAUGGUUUAGGAGGAAAUAUCACCGUCUGUAAUUUAUAACAUUUCAUUAUGAAAUAUUUCUGAGUGCAUAAUGAGUAUCUGCCAUUCCUAAAUAUCCUCAGAGUGUCACUCCACAGUCCUCCCACACACACUAUUUCAAUGCAAGGCAAUAGCUUGGCAAACUUCCUAUGAGCUCCAGUAGGAAAUUAUCUUGCUUAAGAAUACAGGGUUUGACCUCUGAUGUGUAAGUAUUGUGGGAGACCCAAAUGGUCUCUCUCAUAUUCCUGGACACUGUAAGUAGCUUAUAAGGACAAAUUCUCAUCAUCUGUACCAAGUCCCUUACAAAAGAGAACAAACUACAUACCAUUACUGGUUUUCUAUUUUUUUUUUCAGAUACACUGAAACAAAUUUUGGCACAGGACUCCAGUUUUGAACCCUUUCCUAAAUUUCACAAAAGGGCUUCACAUUUUGAUGAAAUUUAGGAUUUUUCUUUUGCAUCUCCUUCUGUCAGUGCACACUGCAGAGGUGAGCCUAUAUGGAAAGCUUAGUGGCAAUAAUGCACUUUUUAGACAACUCUGGAGCCAGUAAAUGAAACAAGAAUGGGGGAAAACAGGAGCUGG